rnacentral:rRNA from 1 species
UACAGAGGUCUCAAGCGUUGUUCGGAUUCAUUGGGCGUAAAGGGUGUGUAGGUGGCGCGCUAAGUCGGGUGUGAAAUUUCGGAGCUUAACUCCGAAACUGCAUUCGAUACUGGCGUGCUUGAGGACUGGAGAGGAGACUGGAAUUCAUGGUGUAGCAGUGAAAUGCGUAGAGAUCAUGAGGAAGACCAGUGGCGAAGGCGGGUCUCUGGACAGUUCCUGACACUGAUGCACGAAAGCGUGGGGAGCAAACAGG